CAUGGGUAGUCAGCCGGAAUUUUUCGUGUCGUGUUGUAAAAGUUGUUAAUUUGCCGUAAAUAUCUCUUGAUUUGUACUCAAGAGUGAAGCAAGACUCCAAGGAAGAGAGAUUGACGCAUCGGGAGCGAAGAACAGAAACGAUGGAUGGUUACGCUGCUUGGGUCUCGGCACGUUCGAAUUGGCAAAGUUCCGAAUUUGUCGCUGUGUUUUGUACGCUUGUGCGCUCGUCAUUUGCCGUCAUCGCGUGGAGAUAUUUGCGCUGGAUGUCUUUCACUUCGGGUACAAAACUCUGCACGCUGCGGCAUCGAAGAAGUUGUCCUUUGUUUGGGUGCACGUAUGCGCUUGGACACGGAUAUAUCCUGCUUGCUCUCAACGGGUGUUCAACAGUCUACGCGCACUCGUAACUUGCUCAUGAGGCAAGUUGCUGUUGUGCUGGAGCUGAGAAGAGGUCUGCUGCCUGCAAUGGGUCCAUCUCUCUCAAGUUAUCGCAGUAUUGUAGCUCUCAAAGUUCAAAAAAGUAUGGUGGAAGCUGUUGCCAAGGUUCCGACAAGAAAAGACAGCCAGUAUAAAAGGGUCCACACCACUGAUCUCUACUACAGGGCAUGGACAACACAUCGAGCACCCUCGACUGAAGCCAACCUUGUCCCGGAAGUUGGUGCUUCACAACUUUGCGGCAGCACUUCGUUUGCACGGCCUGUGGAGACAAGGUUUCUUUGACAUGGCCAUGGCCCUCAAGGAAGAUGCCGAGGCCACAGGCAGUUCCUCCAGUGACCGUGAAAAGGUCCCCUGGGGCACAAGUCUAAUUUGGCACCCCCACCUUUCUCCUGCGGCUUUUCUGUCUACUUAGCUAACCAGCAGCAAGUUUAUCCUUGCAAGCAUUUUGGGUCAAGAACAACUUUCACCAGGAAGAAGUGCAAGACGAGUGAUUGAAGAAAAUAAAGCU